rnacentral:rRNA from 1 species
CCACUGAGAAGAUAGUGGCGAACGGGUGAGUAACAACGUGGGUAACCCUGCCCAUAAGAGGGGGAGUAACAUCCGGAAACGGGUGCUAAUACCGCGAUAGUUUUCUUGAUCGCAUGAUCGGGAAAGGAAAGACGGCCUUUGUGCUGUCGCUUAUGGAUGGACCCGCGGCGUAUUAGUUAGUUGGUGAGGUAACGGCUCACCAAGACGAUGAUACGUAGCCGACCUGAGAGGGUGAUCGGCCACAUUGGGACUGAGACACGGCCCAAACUCCUACGGGAGGCAGCAGUAGGGAAUCUUCCGCAAUGGACGAAAGUCUGACGGAGCAACGCCGCGUGAGUGAAGAAAAGGUUUUCGGAUCGUAAAACUCUGUUGUCAGAGAAGAACAAGUUGGAGAGUAACUGCUCCAGCCUUGACGGUAUCUGACCAGAAAGCCACGGCUAACUACGUGCCAGCCGCCGC